GACCCAUCGACUGCUCGUGCUUCGGAGUCUACGCAGGGUUAGCUGUUUGCCAAGAUCACGUGGAUAAGCAAGCAGUUUAUGAUUUGAAAGCUGGUCCACUCCGAUUCUUUUGAUUCUUCGGAGGUUUUUAUGUUAUUUUAACUAGUUACUGUUUUCGAACUCUUAGACCGCAGUAGAACUAGUUUAUUAUAUAUUAUAUUGAUAUUACACUCUGGGAUUAUCGAUUUGAUCGAUUAUUUAUUAUUAGCAUGUUUACUCUGGAUUACUUUAAUAUUAUAUUUAAGGCA